UUGACCUCGGAUCAGGAG
rnacentral:rRNA from 3 species